ACUUGAGCAUCUGUUUCAAAAAACUAACUCACCAGAGGCCCAACAUUUAAAGAGUAUUUGUCAAAAGCUACAUUUUGUUUGGAAAGAAUACAAAGUUCUCUACGACUUUUAACCAACCCUCCUUCCAGGUGAGCCCUGCUCUACCUUGAGCCGCUGGACAGCUACAGGUGGCAGCGGAACCGGACCUGAGCGAGCACCCGCUGAGAAAUGCUGCUUUGGGUGGAGCUCCACAGGAAAAAAGAGAAAGCGAAGGGUAAUUCUGAGUAGUGGGAUGCCGAAGGAGCUUGCUCCCUGCCAGAGUGAGACACGCUGAUGCUGGGACACAGAAUGAUGCUGAUCAUGAGCUUGCAGAGUGCCCCGACCAUGAUGACAAAGAAGCUGUGCUGGUCCUUGAUUCUGCCCCUUUACAUUCAGCACUAUGGGAAGGCCCAGAAGUUGUGGUAAUGGUAAACAACACUAAGUCAAUGGAUAUGCCCGAUGGGGGAAAUUUCACUAUUAGUAGAGAAAUUAUUUGCCAAGGAUUGGGAACUGGCAUCUCCAUAUGCUUUUCAAAUCGGAACGCUACUGGAUGUCUGAGAGUAUCUCGUACUACAUUGCAGAGAAAAGAUCUCGAUACACACCAAGAUUGGUAAAUAGCAUUCGAGUAACUCUACCCACUGGCCUAGCGGCUGAGGGAUACCAGGCACUGCAGCGGUUCCCGAAUUGUGGGGUGAGGGAAUGCACAAAUAUCACAAUUCCCUGGAAAAGACGGGGGGGGGAAUAAGCCUGUGCUUCAUCAGCCCCCACAGAUAUGACCUCAAGAUUUUGGGCUGCUCAGACUAUAGGGGAGUGGCUCGUGUGACUAAUUAUGCUACUGGCUCUCCAUCUCUACCUGUCCUCCUCUCAGAAGCCUUGUCUGCUGGACUCUGGUGGACUCACACAGGUUAUCAACAAGGAUACUAUGGAAGUUGGGUGCUGUCUUAGACGAUAUGAGUGCUCAGCCUGAAAGAUCGAGUCCAGCUUAUAUGAACAGACCUAUUGCACCACAUGUUUGCAUGCCAUAUGUCCUAUUAGUAGGAAAUAUUAGCAUUAUUGUAUAUUCUGAAAAUAAUACUUUAGGUGUGGCUGGUGUCGACUGUAGUUUGACUUGUGUCUUUAAAACCCAUUCUAAGCAUUCUGCAAUGAUUUCAUUUAAUCUGCUUUUGUGAUGGCUCCUGCAAAUAUUACUGAAGAUUGGUUCGACAACAAGGGUUUAUUAGCAAUUGAAGAGUUGACAAGGACAUUGGUCAAGCAUAAUUGUUUUAAUUAUCGCAGGUGUUAUAGCUUUGAUUACUUUAAUCUCUAGUGCUACUACAGCUGCCAUUGCCCUAUCACAAUGUGUUCAAACAGUUCAUUCUGUGUAUGUUUUAUCCAGAAAUGUUUCCAUGGCAUUGCAUACUCAGGAGGAUAUAAAUGAUAAUAAAAUGCAACAGAAAUUA
rnacentral:sRNA from 1 species